CCAUAAAUAAAAUCAACCUACAUAGCCUGACCCAACCCAGGCCCAAUAAGAUUACAGAAAGGGAAGGAACUAAAGAAGUCCAAGACCAGAUGUCCGGACAGUAAAGAAAACUAAGGGGAAAGAAUCAAAAACUCAUCUCCUUCCUCUCAACGAUAACGAGCAAUGUCGAUGAGCUGAGCAGACAUCAAGAGCUUCAAAAUCACAGUCCAUCUCGAGUCCAUAACCUGAAAAUUGCUGAGCUUAAGGUGUUUUCACCUAAGACAUUCCAAGUCUCACGAAUGCCAUGAAAACAAUCUUAAUGAAGACUUCUUCACUCUACAAUGGCAGAUCUGGUCCCUUGUGAGUAUCGAUUCUGGCAUUUAAUCACCAGCUGAACUCAUGCCACUCAAAUACCUGCAUAUACCUAGAAUUCGAAAGGUACAAUGUUUCGCUAUUUUCUCGCCUCUCAGCAGAUUGAGCUUAAAAGCUGAU